UUUUUUGUGGAGAGUUUGAUCCUGGCUCAGGACGAACGCUGGCGGCAUGCCUAACACAUGCAAGUCGAACGGAGAAUGAAGAAGGUUUACUGGAUUCAUUCUUAGUGGCGGACGGGUGAGUAACGCGUGGAUAACCUGCCUGAGAGUGGGGGAUAACAGCCCGAAAGGGCUGCUAAUACCGCAUAACGUUGUCUGGGGACAUCCCUGGACAACCAAAGGAGCAAUCCGCUCUUGGAUGGGUCCGCGUCCGAUUAGCUAGUUGGU
rnacentral:rRNA from 1 species